rnacentral:tRNA from 1 species
UUGUCGGGCUAGGGGAACUCGUACCCCCGACCGUUUGAUCCACGGUCAAGGGCAUCGUGGCUACGAGUUCACGCCCGACCGGCCA